rnacentral:lncRNA from 1 species
UCGAUCUUCUGGUUCAAUGAGUGGGAUCGAUGAACAACCAUGUACAGUAGAUUGAGCACGAUACUGUUAGUGUUGGGUCUUGUAAUCACCUUCCAGUGCCUCGCAUAUACCGAGGCAUUAACUUCUAAAUGGCCGCUUCGUAGACGUAAAGCUGGAAAAAAGAGUUUGAGAAACAAGCUGGAGGCCAAAGAUGAAGAAGCGGGCCGAGCCGGGUUAUAUAUAGGUCGAAGACUUUGUCGUGAUCCUGAAGCUUUCGAAUGUGAGAGUGAUGGCUAGUUCCUCUAUACAAGAACACAUAGAACUAUCAUGAACUUCAAAUGAAGUUCAGUUGUUUUUGGUAAAACGCCUUUGACUUAAAGUAAACUGCGUUCACAGUUAGAUCUGUCAAAAAUUGACAUCGUGUAAGCAAAUAAAAUAUAUGUGCAUGUAA